GGACUACUCGGGUAUCUAAUCCCGUUCGCUACCCUAGCUUUCGUUCCUCAGCGUCAGAAAAGAUCCAGUGAGCCGCUUUCGCCACCGGUGUUCCAGAUGAUAUCAACGCAUUUCACCGCUCCACCAUCUGUUCCGCUCACCUCUAUCUCCCUCAAGCCUGACGGUUUCAAGCGCAGUUCCUCGGUUGAGCCGAGGGAUUUCACACCUGACCUGUCAGGCCGCCUACGAACUCUUUAAACCCAGUAAUACCGAAUAACGUUCGGGGAGCUCGUCUUACCGCGGCGGCUGGCACUA
rnacentral:misc_RNA from 1 species